rnacentral:lncRNA from 10 species
UACAAACAUAAGUGACUGGAUAUUUUUUUAAAAAGCAUUUCACCAAGAGAUUUCUGGAAUUAACUUAUUGUGUGACCUUCAGAAGUCCUUUAACUAUUUUGAGGCUUUGUUUCUUCAUCUAUGAAAUAAGGGGAUUGGAGUCAAUAACGCUUUACAGUCUUAUCAGCUCUUGAUAUUCUCUGAGCAUAUGCUUCUGCUAGCUAGGAGAAUAUCAACGUAAUGGGACACUGUAAUGUAUUAAUUUCUUUGCUCUGGUGGCUGAAGGAGAAUCUCAGGAAAAACAAAUAAGUAGAAUGGACAAACUUGUUUUGUGUUGUUCGGGCCUCAUUUGUCUUAAGGUAUACUAAUGGAUUUUAUGUUUCAGAGUAUCAAAGAAGUUAACAGCACCCCUGAAGAUUAUCCUCAACCAAGCUUAUAUAUAGUAAAAGCCAUUGGCUCAUUGACAAUAAUUCAUCAAAGUAUAGAAGAGGAAAAGAUGUAUUGAGAAGUAUUGAUGCUUUGAGUUUAAUGAAGAAGUUCCCCAAGAUGAAGAGAGAUGAAAUUUGAGAGUGGGGAUGGAUUUCCUGAUUGACAGGGACCUGUUCAGUUGCAGUACCUAUGGUGAGACAGAAAACGUAGAGAAUGGUGGAGUGUUAUUUCUGGUGGGAUAAAGCUCCAGAACAAUUUCAGAAGAGUCAUUAUGUUCUUCUGUCCUGGUACCUAAGGAGAAAUGCUUUCACCAGGGAAUCCAGAUGUUCCAUUAAGAGAAGCCAUGACAAAAGCUGCAGAGUGAAAGCAAUGGAGAUGAGAAUGGCACAGAAAAAAAGCUACGUCCUAGAACUGCCCUCGGAAAUGAUUAAGAUAAAUUCCUUUUUGGCCUAAUACACUAAGGAAAGGGGGAAAUUGACAUUCAGGUUACUUUUUAAAUGAAAUUUUUAUUACAUUCUUUAAUACAAAGUUUUAUAAGUCCGGGAUUAUGCAUGUUCUUCAGUAAAAUAAGCAUCACAUUUAUAAUACUUAUGUUUAACAUAUUUUGAAUGAAUUAGAUUCUAUACGAUAAGACAAUUUUAUUUCACCUACAGUCUUUUCACACACUCCUCCUGAAUAUAAUCCCCAAAAGACAUGUUUUUCUUUCACUUUCUGGUUCCCCAUUUUCUCUCCUUAUUUGCUGUUUUAUCCCCUUUGGUAUGACAGGGCAAGUUUCAGGAGGUCAAUGAAGA